GUACUCAUUUUGGCUGCACAUACACUAAAAUUGGAAUGAUACAGAGAAGAUUGUUGUGGCCCUUGUGCAAGGAUGACACAGAAAUCUGUGGCACUUUCUAUCAAAAA
rnacentral:snRNA from 1 species